rnacentral:misc_RNA from 1 species
GUCUUCUUCUCCAGAUCCAUCUGAUUGACCGUCGAGAAGACACCAGCAAAAGGGUCAAAUGAAAUGAAUGUACCUAAGCUAUGCAUGCAGGGAUUAUGUAAUGUAUCCAUGCGUGCAUGCAUGUGGAUGGAUGGAUGGAUGGAUGUGCAUAUGGAAAAUGUGUGUGUCUUAUAUCCAUAAUAGGGUUUCGUACAAAUAUAUGGAAUUGGGAGACAGAAUUUUCCAAAUGGGAGCAGUAAAAUACUGAAAACGAUACUAAUAAUAUAGAUAAAAA